AUACGGAGGGUCCGAGCGUUAUCCGGAAUCAUGGGGUUUAAAGGGUCCGUAGGCGGGAAUCUAAGUCAGUGGUGAAAUCUUGCAGCUCAACUGUAAAAUUGCCAUUGAUACUGGAUUUCUUGAAUUAGUGUGAAGUGGUUAGAAUGUGUAGUGUAGCGGUGAAAUGCAUAGAUAUUACACAGAAUACCAAUUGCGAAGGCAGAUCACUAACACUAUAUUGACGCUAAGGGACGAAAGCGUGGGGAGCAAACAGGAUUAGAAACCCUAGUAGUCC
rnacentral:rRNA from 1 species